CACUCUAAGCGGUGGAUCACUCGGCUCAUGGGUCGAUGAAGAACGCAGCAAACUGUGCGUCAUCGUGUGAACUGCAGGACACAUGAACAUCGACAUUUUGAACGCAUAUCGCAGUCCAUGCUGUUAUGUUACUUUAAUUAAUUUUAGAGUGCUGCUUGGACUACAUAUGGUUGAGGGUUG
rfam:Drosophila willistoni strain TSC#14030-0811.24 scf2_1100000001525 genomic scaffold, whole genome shotgun sequence.